GUAGGGAAUCUUCCACAAUGGGCGAAAGCCUGAUGGAGCAACGCCGCGUGAGUGAGGAAGGCCUUCGGGUCGUAAAGCUCUGUUGCCAGGGAAGAAUAAGGUCCAGUUCACUGCUGGACCGAUGACGGUACCUGAGAAGAAAGCCCCGGCUAACUACGUGCCAGCAGCCGCGGUAAUACGUAGGGGGCGAGCGUUGUCCGGAAUUAUUGGGCGUAAAGCGCGCGCAGGCGGUCCUUUAAGUCUGGUGUUUAAGUGCGGGGCUCAACCCCGUGACGCACUGGAAACUGGGGGACUUGAGUGCAGGAGAGGAAAGCGGAAUUCCACGUGUAGCGGUGAAAUGCGUAGAGAUGUGGAGGAACACCAGUGGCGAAGGCGGCUUUCUGGACUGUAACUGACGCUGAGGCGCGAAAGCGUGGGGAGCAAACAGGAUUAGAAACCCGUGUAGUCC
rnacentral:rRNA from 1 species